rnacentral:misc_RNA from 1 species
AAAUGAUACCUUUAUGAGUGGUUGCAAAAGCAAAGAAUCCACCAGCUCAAAGCAUAAUACUCAUAUGAAAAGGAAACUAAUAGAGAGAUCGAAUCUGAAGAAAUGAAAGAGGAAUGAAUGAGAAGAGAGGAAGAUUGAGAGGAGGAGAAUAAGAAUCGCAACAAACUAAAACAAGGAGAGAGAUUAGAGAUCACACAAAAACCGCAAACAA